rnacentral:rRNA from 1 species
ACACGACUCUCGGCAACGGAUAUCUCGGCUCUCGCAUCGAUGAAGAACGUAGCGAAAUGCGAUACCUGGUGUGAAUUGCAGAAUCCCGCGAACCAUCGAGUCUUUGAACGCAAGUUGCGCCCGAGGCCAUUCGGCCGAGGGCACGCCUGCCUGGGCAUCACGC